AUGGUUAGUGCCAAGAGACUUGCUCAGAUGGCAAAGAAGUGGCAGAGGAUGGCGGCCAUGGGGAGGAAGAGGCUCACCCGAAGCACGACAGUGCCGAAAGGAGCAGCCAAUGGCGAGUGCUGCGCGACGUCGCCGUCGGUGGCGAUGAAGGGCCACUGCAUGGUGUACACCAUAGAUGGGGCACGGUUCGAGGUGCCGCUGGCAUACCUCGGCACGUCGAUCUUAAGCGAGCUCCUGACGAUGUCCCACGAGGAGUUCGGCUUUGCAGGCGGCGAUGAUGGGAGGAUCGUCCUACCCUGCGACGCCGCGGUCAUGGAGUACGCCAUGUGCUUGCUCCGGAGAGAUGCCUCCACGGAAGUUGUGAAGGCAUUCAUGAGCUCCGUCCCAAGGCCGUGCAGUUUUGAAGGCAGUGUGGUUGGCGUAGGGAUUAACCAGCAAGUAGCUGUUUGUUAG
rnacentral:rRNA from 1 species